CCGAAGUGCAGCCUCGGAGACCACGGGCCCGCUCCGUAGCGGAGAUGCGUCCGGCCCCGAGGGCGCGGCGGGCUGCGAGUCCCUGACCCACGGCCCAGAGUAGGAGCCCGCUCUGCCCCGCGCUCCUCGGUCCCGAGCCUGCAGUGGACCUCGGGCCGCAGGCGCCUCCGCAUGUGGCAGCGCAGUUAGGUGAGUGCUGGUUCCAGCCGGAUGGGGUAAGCCCGACCUGCGGGGGUUGGGGCCACCCAGACCCGGGUUAAGGCUGCAGAGUGGAGCAGGACGAGCUGAAAAGGAACCAGUGAUGCGGCCGGCCGGGGUGAGAACAUCGGGGCGGUCAAGGCUGCAGGAAGGUGAGAGCCUCGGGUCGGGUGCGGAGUCCUCGCUGGACAGACACCCCGAGGCUGAGAGGCUCAAGUCCUCCUUUCCGGGUAGCGGGGCGAACUGCGUCUCAGACUCCAGAGCACAGACAGGGCAGAGGCCGCACCCUAGAAACAAGGUUAAGCUGUGACAGGAGGAGUGAUGUCCUUGAAAUUGAUAUUUGCCGAAUAAGAAAAGAAAGAAGGCCGGGGGACUGGCAGUGAAAAUUGAUGCAGAAAUGUGAGUGAUCAGAACACUGGGCUUCAGAGUCUUUGAUACAACAGGCUUGUCAAAAUUAAAUCAAAGAACAUUAUGUAUAAAUAAUGAUCGAUGAUCAGGAUUAUCAGAAUGUGAGCAAUUACCAAAGAAACAGGGCUAAACAGCAUUACUGACACAACACUUGCACUUCAAAAUAAUACAAUAAUAGUCACUUUCAAAAUCCAGUGAAAAUAGUAAUCAUAGCUUAUAAGGAUUAAAAACAAAGUAACUAGAUAUAGAAACAAUGUAAGAGUAGUAUAUUAAAAUGAAUAGCAAUUGUAUAACAUGAUAAUAAUGUAACAAAGUACUAAACUACAGGCAACUCGAAGAAGCAAAUUGUAGGAAAAGAUGAACUAUGAAAAAUACUAUUAAGGAAAAUACUAUUAGUUUUGCUAGACUACUAUCGCAUAAUGUAUUAUUGACACCAUAGUGAAGUAUUAAAACAGAGCAAAAUCUCAGGAGCAAUAGCAAUAUAAAUACACAGUGAUAAGAAUUGUUGGAGUAAUAUGACAAUUUAUGACCAAGGUAUUAAUAGUCACAACAACAUUAUAAAUAAUGGUCGAGCAAUAAGAAAUAUUGUUUCAAUGUGAUGAAAAAUAAUCAGACUAUUAAGAACCACAGCAAUAUUACAAAUUAUGACAAAGUAACAAGCAGUAAUGAUGUGAUGAAAAAUAAGGAGCGAAUUAAGAUCUGUAACAUUACAAAUAAUGACAAAGUAACAAGAUACUGUAACGAUGUGAUGAAGAAUAUUACCUAGAGUAUUAGGAGCAAUCCUAAUAAAACAAAUUGUAGUACGAUAAUAAGAAAUAUAAGGAUUGACAAAAUUAAUAUGAAUAUUGAGAACAACGCUAUUACAAGUUAUGGAAAAUAACAUGUUAUUCAAAAGAUGUGACAAAGUCUAAGGACAAUGAAGAGCUAGAAACGGAAACAUUUUUGGGAUACAGAGUAAAAUUAAAAUAAGGAAGGAUUAGCCCGACCUAUUGGAAUCCGAUUACCUAGAUAUUGGCAACACUAUUACUAAUGGGCCAGGGUUCCCUGGAAGGCUGAAGCGGUUACAGGAAAGCAACGACAACAUAUUUAAUACUGAUAAAUUAAUGAAUCUAACCAGUGCUUUAACCACACAUUAUUAAAGAUAAAAAGCACUGACAAUUCACAUGCGAGGGUAAAUACAGUUAACGUUACUUGAACUGAUACUGCUCUGAUAAUGGGGGCAAAUAUUAAAACUAGUAAAAAUAGCAACAAUUUUCCCACUGUGAGAAAAAUAUUACUAAGUAAUCUAAAAGUGAAAAGAAAAAUGUUGCCGUCCUUGGAAAAUGAGGCAGUCGAAAGCCACAAACCCCAGUUCGGAAGGAGCGGAGCCCACGGCCGCGGCCGCGGAGGGCCAACGGAAGGGUGCGGCGCAGAGCUCCAGUCCGGCCCGCGGCGGGGUGCGGGACCCCAAGGAGCGCGCGGGGCUCGGGGUCCGAGGGAACUGCGGGGACCGCCGCUCAGGGUCGGGCUGGGGGAAAGGACACUGGCGGGGAUCUUCGGAGAAAGUUAGUUGUCUCGAGGUUAGCGUGUGGCUCCGACGCCUGGAAGAGGAGGCCAGCUCCGAGGAGGGAAGGGGAGCGGAGCGUAACCUCCGUCGCCAGUGCGCGCAGAGGGCCUGUGUCCGUGGUUGUGCUCUGCACUCCAGCAGGGCUGAGUGUGGGGUGCGAGCCGACCGGCUCCCCAGUGCGGCUCCGGGUGCGGCAAGUGCCUGGCAGAGGACUUGGUAGCCAGGUCCCCGCCCCGCCCCUCGAGCCGCCGCACCUAGGAGCCUCCAUCCCGGGGCCCACAUCGAGUGGGAACCGUGCUUUGCCCACAACCCGCAUGUGGCCUAAGAUGGGUGCUGGGGACAGCCUUGUCCCGGCGGGAGCCCUGUUCCCUGCUGGCUGUGGCCGAGGACUCUCUGGGCUGUCAGGCUUAUCUUUAUGGGCUUUUCCCAGCCCCAGCUGGCCCCGGCCCCUUUUUAUCUCCUGGUUGCACUUGGCUUGUUUACUUUGCCGGCCCUGGGAGCCUAACUUAAACCCAGGAUGGGGAGUCUGGGGAGAUCCAGGAGAGAACAGAAAAAGAGUAGAAGAAAGCGGAGACACUGCCCCACACAACAGACAGGCAGUCAGACACACAGAGAGCCCACCUGAACUUGGCCAGAUUCAGAGCAUGGACAACCAGGCAGGGAGGAAGGAAAGCAGGGAUAGUGCAGGCUGCACCCCCUCCUGGGGGGAUGCUGGUCUUUGCAAGCUGAGCUUUUUUCCUGGUAUCCCAGGACCAGCUGCAGGCUGGGAGCAGUUAUAAGGGUGGGUGGGAAAAUAGGCCCAGGCACUUGGGGCUAUAGAGCUGAGGCAAAACUACGCUGUGCCUGGGAGCUGGACCCGUGCUACUCGCCUGUCCCCAUCCAGGAAGGGUCUGGGUCCUUUGGCCCCAAGGAGAGCCCUCUGGAACUAAAGUGAGAGGGUGAGCCAGUGGGUGUGAGUGUGCGGACAGGCUGGGAGGGCCCUGGCAGAGUUUAGGGCCCGAGGUGAGGUGAGGAGGAGGCUGCGUGUGGAUGCUGUGUCCUCCUGUGAGGAUGUGUGUGCCCCAGUGGAAAUGCGCAGGAGUGAAGCCUUUGGUUCAGGAACCCAGUGCCAUCUGAGGGCAGACGAGUGAGCAGAGGUGAAAGGGCCGCCCAGCUCUCGCUCUCUCUGCAGGUGUGGAACUGCGUAAGCCCAGGCCCUCCCUCGCCUGCCUUGCCUCUUACCCCAGCCCAGGAAGGGUCCUGGCUGCCCCAGGCCAAAAGUGAGGCCUGGACCCCAGUUAUCCCGGAAGGAACAAGGAGACCCAGGCCCCUGGAGCCCAGCAGGAGGGAGGGACUGGGGGUACAGCUGGGGCUGUGCUGAGAGGGCGGUCCUUUCCCCAGUCACACAGCCCCACACCCAGGGGAGGCAGACCCUCCCAGGUCCAGAGCCACAGGGAGGAGGCGAGGGUCCUGCCCUCCCAGCACGCACCCCACUCCGGGCUGGAAGGGGGCGGGGUCCACGCCCCGCGUGCGAAACCCCCAGCUCCUUGGGAGGGCCGAGGGGCCUCCGGCCAGUGCGCGUCUGGGCGAGUAACCCCCUGGUGCUGUGCCCGCAGGAGAUGCUGCAGGACAAGGGCCUGUCGGAGAGCGAGGAGGCCUUCCGGGCCCCGGGCCCAGCGCUCGGCGAGGGCAGCGCCGCCACCGCCCCCGAGCCCGCGCUGGCAGCGCCGGGCCUCAGCGGAGCCGCGCUCGGUAGCCCCCCGGCCCCAGGCACCGACGUCUCCGCCGCCACCGCCGCCGAGCAGACCAUCGAGAACAUCAAGGUGGGGCUGCACGAGAAGGAGCUCUGGAAGAAGUUCCACGAGGCGGGCACCGAGAUGAUCAUUACCAAGGCGGGCAGGAGGAUGUUUCCCAGCUACAAGGUAAAAAGUCACAGGCAUGAACCCCAAGACCAAGUACAUCCUGCUGAUUGACAUCGUCCCCUGCAGAUGACCAUCGCUACAAGUUCUGUGACAACAAAUGGAUGGUGGCUGGAAAGGCCGAGCCAGCUAUGCCAGGACGGCUUUAUGUCCACCCGGAUUCUCCUGCAAGGGGCCCACUGGAUGCGGCAGCUGGUCUCUUUCCAGAAGCUGAAGCUGACAAACAACCACCUGGACCCCUUUGGCCAUAUCAUCCUCAACUCCAUGCACAAGUACCAGCCCCGGCUCCACAUUGUUAAAGCCGAUGAGAACAACGCCUUUGGCUCCAAAAACACAGCCUUCUGCACUCACGUGUUCCCAGAAACCUCCUUCAUCUCUGUGACCUCCUACCAGAAUCACAAGAUCACACAGCUGAAAAUUGAGAACAAUCCUUUCGCCAAGGGGUUCCGGGGCAGUGACGACAGUGACCUGCGUGUGGCCCGGCUGCAGAGCAAGGAGUAUCCCGUGAUUUCCAAAAGCAUCAUGAGGCAGAGGCUCGUCUCCGGCCAGCUGUCCAC
rnacentral:lncRNA from 1 species